CGACCGGCGCACGGGUGAGUAACACGUAUCCAACCUGCCGAUGACUCGGGGAUAGCCUUUCGAAAGAAAGAUUAAUACCCGAUGGCAUAGUUCUUCUGCAUGGUAGAACUAUUAAAGAAUUUCGGUCAUCGAUGGGGAUGCGUUCCAUUAGCUUGUUGGCGGGGUAACGGCCCACCAAGGCAUCGAUGGAUAGGGGUUCUGAGAGGAAGGUCCCCCACAUUGGAACUGAGACACGGUCCAAACUCCUACGGAAGGCAGCAG
rnacentral:rRNA from 1 species